GACGAACGCUGGCGGCGUGCCUAAUACAUGCAAGUAGAACGCUGAAGAGAGGAGCUUGCUCUUCUUGGAUGAGUUGCGAACGGGUGAGUAACGCGUAGGUAACCUGCCUUGUAGCGGGGGAUCACUAUUGGAAACGAUAGCUAAUACCGCAUAACAAUGGCUGACACAUGUCAUUUAUUUGAAAGGGGCAAUUGCUCCACUACAAGAUGGACCUGCGUUGUAUUAGCUAGUAGGUGAGGUAAUGGCUCACCUAGGCGACGAUACAUAGCCGACCUGAGAGGGGGAUCGGCCACACUGAGACUGAGACACGGCCCAGACUCCGACGGGAGGCAGCAGUAGGGAAUCCUCGGCAAUGGGGGCAACCCUGACCGAGAAACGCCGCGUGAGUGAAGAAGGUUUUCGGAUCGUAAAGCUCUGUUGUAAGUCAAGAACGGGUGUGAGAGUGGAAAGUUCACACUGUGACGGUAGCGUACCAGAAAGGGACGGCUAACUACGUG
rnacentral:rRNA from 1 species